rnacentral:rRNA from 1 species
AUUGAACGCUGGCGGCAGGCCUAACACAUGCAAGUCGAGCGAGUGGCGGACGGGUGAGUAAUGUCUGGGAAACGGCCCGAUGGAGGGGGAUAACUACGGGAAACGGUAGCUAAUACCGCAUACCAGCGGAUGUGCCCAGAUGGGAUUAGCUAGUAGGUGGGGUAACGGCUCACCUAGGCGACGAUCCCUAGCUGGUCUGAGAGGAUGACCAGCCACACUGGAACUGAGACACGGUCCAGACUCCUACGGGAGGCAGCAGUGGGGAAUAUUGCACAAUGGGCGCAAGCCUGAUGCAGCCAUGCCGCGUGUAUGAAGAAGGUCUUCGGGUUGUAAAGUACUUUUAUCGGGGAGGCGUUACCCGAAGAAGAAGCACCGGCUAACUCCGUGCCAGCAGCCGCGGUAAUAC